UACGGAGGGUGCAAGCGUUAUCCGGAUUCACUGGGUUUAAAGGGUGCGUAGGGGGGCAGGUAAGUCAGGGGUGAAAUCUCCGGGCUUAACUCGGAAACUGCCAUUGAUACUAUCUGUCUUGAAUACCGUGGAGGUCAGCGGAAUAUGUCAUGUAGCGGUGAAAUGCUUAGAUAUGACAUAGAACACCGAUUGCGAAGGCAGCUGACGAAACUGUAACUGACGCUGAGGCUCGAAAGCGUGGGGAUCAAACAGG
rnacentral:rRNA from 1 species